rnacentral:rRNA from 1 species
AUGAAGAGAUUUUUGACGGGCUCAUUGAGCCGAAGCUCGAAGGAAAAGCAGAAUGAAGAAGCACAGAGGCCCAAAUAUAAUUUGCUUCGCACAGCGGAGGUUCGGCCGUGUGAAUGGCCUUCCAAUGAUUUCUUGAGAGAAGCCGGGAUUUAUGAUGAUUUCUAUUCAUUGGCUGAGAAUGCUAGCCUCACCGAUUUCCUCCGCGACCAACGUCAUCAGUAUCUCUUACUCACCAAUACUUUUGUGCAAAACUUCUAUUAUUUUCCUAAGGAAACACCUCCUUCAGUAGAGUUUCAUUUAUAUGAUGUUGUUAAGAAGAUGCCACUACAUGAAUUUUGCAAGGUUUGCAAAAUACCCUUCGAGGGCAUCUUAGAUGAACCACAUCGUAAAGAUGUGGAUGGGUUUAUUGGCACUAUUACUGUAGGGGAAACUAGGAAGGUUUCCGAUGCAAGAAUCACUAGCAUACAUUUUCCUGUUUUACGCUAUUUUGCCAUAUUUGCUAGUCGUUGCUUAAUUGGUCGUGGAAACUGUGGAAACCUUAGUGUUCCUGAUAUUAUCAUCUUGUUCCAUGGUUUAUUCCGCGAUAAAACUAUUAGUAUGGGCAGAAUUAUUGCUAAACGGUUAAGUUUGAACCGUACAAAGGGCCCCAUAUCUUUGGAGGUAUUUAUGCUUCACGCCUUGCUGCACAUUAUAACAUACCUAUUAGGCACUAUGAGAAAGAACAAAAAUUGUUGCCGAAUGCUUAUUUAG